GAUGAACGCUGGCGGCGUGCCUAAUACAUGCAAGUCGAGCGAACGGACGAGAAGCUUGCUUCUCUGAUGUUAGCGGCGGACGGGUGAGUAACACGUGGAUAACCUACCUAUAAGACUGGGAUAACUUCGGGAAACCGGAGCUAAUACCGGAUAAUAUUUUGAACCGCAUGGUCCAAAAGUGAAAGACGGUCUUGCUGUCACUUAUAGAUGGAUCCGCGCUGCAUUAGCUAGUUGGUAAGGUAACGGCUUACCAAGGCAACGAUGCAUAGCCGACCUGAGAGGGUGAUCGGCCACACUGGAACUGAGACACGGUCCAGACUCCUACGGGAGGCAGCAGUAGGGAAUCUUCCGCAAUGGGCGAAAGCCUGACGGAGCAACGCCGCGUGAGUGAUGAAGGGCUUCGGAUCGUAAAACUCUGUUAUUAGGGAAGAACAUAUGUGUAAGUAACUGUGCACAUCUUGACGGUACCUAAUCAGAAAGCCACGGCUAACUACGUG
rnacentral:rRNA from 1 species